rnacentral:rRNA from 1 species
UACAGAGGGGGCGAGCGUUGUUCGGAAUUACUGGGCGUAAAGGGCGCGUAGGCGGCCAACUAAGUCAGACGUGAGAUCCCUCGGCUCAACCGGGGAACUGCGUCUGAUACUGGAUGGCUUGAAUUCGGGAGAGGGAUGCGGAAUUCCAGGUGUAGCGGUGAAAUGCGUAGAUAUCUGGAGGAACACCGGUGGCGAAGGCGGCAUCCUGGACCGAGAUUGACGCUGAUGCGCGAAAGCCAGGGGAGCAAACGGG